GACGAACGCUGGCGGCGUGCUUAACACAUGCAAGUCGAACGGAAAGGCCCUGCUUUUGUGGGGUGCUCGAGUGGCGAACGGGUGAGUAACACGUGAGUAACCUGCCCUUGACUUUGGGAUAACUUCAGGAAACUGGGGCUAAUACCGGAUAGGAGCUCCUGCUGCAUGGUGGGGGUUGGAAAGUUUCGGCGGUUGGGGAUGGACUCGCGGCUUAUCAGCUUGUUGGUGGGGUAGUGGCUUACCAAGGCUUUGACGGGUAGCCGGCCUGAGAGGGUGACCGGCCACAUUGGGACUGAGAUACGGCCCAGACUCCUACGGGAGGCAGCAGUGGGGAAUAUUGCACAAUGGGCGGAAGCCUGAUGCAGCAACGCCGCGUGCGGGAUGACGGCCCUCGGGUUGUAAACCGCUUUCGCCUGUGACGAAGCGCGAGUGACGGUAAUGGGUAAAGAAGCACCGGCUAACUACGUG
rnacentral:rRNA from 1 species